UGGGCAACAAAGCAAGACCCUAUCUCAAAAAAAAAAAAAAAAGAUUGAAAUACUUCUUCAAUAGCAUAAUAUUGUUGUUCCCCAGCAGUCCAUAGUGGGAAGAAACCAAUGUGGCUCAGAGAUGAGGACAAGGAUGCAUUAAAAAGAAAAAGAUGAUAUAGACAGAAACAACAUUUGCAAAUGAUGCCAUUAAGAUUUCCUAACAAUCAUUAUUAUAAUAACAUAAAUAUUCAAGGAGGACAAUAUUGUAUUAUUAGCACUUCUUUUACUUUCAAACUAUAUUCUUGGUUAUACAGUGAUCUCUUCUUAGAAGAGAUUUCUUUUGGAAGAACCCAUCUCUAAUUAGCAUGUAUCAUCAUGUUAUUUGGAGUCUAUUUUAUUUAGACAUAGUCUAUUUGUCUUUUUAUUAAAGUUGAAUAUAUCCUGGGAAAGAUUUCUCAGUUUCAGACUUAAUUAUAGAACCAAGUAGUGCAGAAGAAAUGUGUAACAAUUGCCAUGUUAAUCUAGUGAUUAACCUGUCUACUCUUUUUCCUUUAAAUACCUGCAAGAUUUAAUUUGCAAAAUGGCUAUCAUUCUUGAAGGCUUGGAGAAGGACAUUAAGAAAUAACUUGCAAUUAAUGUCCCCUGACCACCUGAAGCUCAGGCCACAGACUUGCUUUUGCCAGUUGCUUGCAAAUAUCCUUGGUCCACAACUAAAUGCACCCGGGGAGCCCCAGGGUUCUUCCUGUGGAUUCCCCUUGGUUUUGACAGCCACCAGUGAGCCUCCUGGAUCUGUCCAGCUGCACCCUGGCCUGCAGGAUGAUUGCUUGGUUUUGCAGUGUCCCUUAGUACUGUGCUAUAAGCCUAUCCACUGCCUCAUGUGUAUAGUGGCUUCUCCUCCCAGGGAUUUAGUCUGCAGGCCAGUGGCUGAGCUCCCUUUCAGUCAUAGCAGACAGAGGUGUUCUCAGAAAGCUCUGGGGAAAGAACAACAAACCCAAGUGUUUGUUAUUCUCUUGUAUUUUGAAAUACAGAAUGGAAUAUUGGUGAGCUGCUGCAAAUGGGAGGCUGGAGAAAGCAAUCACAGAGGAGGGGUAAACGUCAGUCCUUGGAAACACAUUUGGGAGUAGGGUUAGAGCAGGAAAGUUCUGGCUAGUGAGGUAAAGUGUAGGUCCAUAUAAAGUUUGACACACAGGCUCUUGAGGAGAGCCAGAAAGUGUUCCAAGGCAGAGGUUCUGCAGACAGAGUGGGACACAGUACUCUAGAAAGCCAUCAGAAGCUUGGGGAGAGGCAUGUGACCUCAUAUUCACCAAAACACUUGAAAACCACUUGAGAAACUCUGGUCUAAGGGAUACCUGGAACACAGCAUGGGACAAGCGGGUUUGUACUGAAAGGAACAGCAACCACUUCUAGUUUUUAAUGAGCCACAUGUUGGGAGACUAUGAAGGAAACAGCAAUAAUUCUAACCCAUUAGCCAGAAUGGACAUCUGUUUCUGAAUAACAUUAGAUAUUUUAGAUUAAAUGUGAAGAGGUGAUCAAAACUCUAAAUAGCUUCAAGCCCCAGUCUGUGUUCAACAUUUUUCAGUGAACGGAAGGAAGAGAGAGACUUUUUCAUAAAUCAGAAUCUGGUCACCUGGGGAUCAAUACACAGGGCUAUUGACGUAUAUGUCGGAAUGUUAAUUUUCAGACAUAGUACAUCUCUGGCCAUCCUGGUGACGGCUAAUGCUAUUCACCUAAAUCAAGUUUUUUCUCAUCUGAACUGCUGGUAAUUAUCCAAUCCAUCUAAAAGGCACGCUCCCUUUUAACAUUAACCACAGUGUCAGAUUGCAUCAGCCACAUUGUGUUCUGGUGACUGCUUCUGCAGAGUGAUGAAUGUGCGUGUUUGGAGUUCAUAGUCCGACUCUCUGUUUGGGCAGUGGGCAGUUCAGUGAAACAAAUGAUCAGGAAAGGAUCUAUUUAUUUGGGACGAGCGUUCUCCUUAUCGAUCCAGUCACUUAACAUUUCCCGCUCUCUCACCUUGCCACUAACAGUGUUCAGCUUUAUCUGAACAAUGAACAUUUAAAGAAUUAUCUUAAUAGAUCAUUUUGAUGUGAUUCUCUGAUCAUAAGCUGCAUUCAGCACAGAGUUCCUCUUUGUGCCUGACUUAAAAAGGAAGGUGUUGUGAGACCUUAUUAAUAAAAACCAGAGGAGGGAGAAGGUUCUGAGAGUGCUUGGUGAACUGUCCUAAGAAACCAAGAGAUAAUGAUUAUUCAUUUUCCUGGAAUAGUAGUAAUACUCUGUUGAUUCAGUGCUUUGUUAAAAAUGUUAAGUAUCUGAAUAAGUGCAUGCAUAAAAGGGCAGGUGACUUGCCUUGAGAUAUUUUAAGGUAGUAGAUUGAGUCCUGAAUUUUUCUCAUACACCUUUGCAAUGUCUGGUCACAAUGCCUAGUAUACUCGAGAGGCCCCAUGGGGGAUCCAAGCUAUAGAUAUGCCUGUGGUUAUUUUAAUUUCUCCUCCAUUUCAAUAUCUCUGGAUAGCUUUUGUACACAUAAGCAGAAGUGUGAACUGGCCAAGCCAUGUGUAAUUCUUUGUUCCUUGGGCUCUUUGCUCUUUGUUUAUAUUAUCACAGAUUAGAAUGAAAUAAAGAAAAUCUUGCUACAAAUAGGCACUUAAUUUCUGUCCUAGCAGUUGAGACUGAGAAUGGGAAAUUCCCUAUGUUACAAUCCACUCUUAGGGUGGCUGUGCACACAGUAGAAUCUAAUGUCUACUGACAGACUGCCUUUGGAGGUUACAAACAUCAGUCUAUUGCAUUCUCUGUAAACACAGGCUGUGGGCCAGAGCUGGACUCCACUACAAGCUCUGUGAGGCAGAUCAAUGGUUUAAUGAAUCCAUAAAGAUGCUUGAACUCUGCUGCAAUUUACUGAGCACUCUAGUUAAAUGAAACUCCUGUAGUCUUUAACAAAGAUAGCGAUAAUCGAUGGUGGGGGAUGGAAGUCCAUGUCCAGCAGUCACAACCUCCCAGAAUUUGUGUUGUCUCAUUGCUAACAGAGGGUUAGUCACAUUCAGGCUCUGAGGCUCACUGUGUCUGUGUUGAUAUUUGCUCAAUGUUUGAGAGCUGAAUUUGGCCCAGAGAUGACAUAAUCUUAGUAAUGUUGCUUCUGCGAGGACUAUUUUUAAACUAUGAAAUAUUAUUUAAAAUAAAUUUCUUUAAAGUGACAAGAUUAAGCUCAAGAAUUAUAUUUGUUCUAACAGGUAGUGUCUUUGUAAGUCAUUCCCAUGAUGAAAAGUAAAUAGCGGAAUAAAAUUCAUUCCUGAUUAAGUCCUCAAAAUGUCAAAUUGCAUAGUGUUGGAGAGCCCUGAUUAAUUUUUCCAUGGUAAAAUAUUCCUCAUUAGUUUGCUAUGGUUGAGGGUUAACCACUCCUAUUAUAAAUUCAGACAUUAAUGUAUUUUCUGCUUAAUUCAUCUUCGAAUAGAGGAAAAUAUAGUUAGUAGAUAUGAAUUUUUUACUUCCAAAUGUGCUUUGGAAACAUUAUACUGAUUUAUGAGAGAGCUUUGGAGGCAUAUAUUCUAAUUCCUUCAUAAAUAUGUUGAAAUGUAUUUAAAAGUAUUUAACCACCUUUGAUUGUAGAAAAACAAGUGCCUUGACUUUGAAAUGAUUAUUUUUCCACAGAAAUAGUAGAAGUUAUGACAUAAUUCAAAGAUUUUGCAUCUGAUUUUUGUCACAGAAACUUAAACUUUCUUAAUGUUUAACUUUCUUGAUUAGCUGAUUAGCAUUAAUUAAUCUCACUCCAAUAACUAUAUUUUGGAGGUUCCAUGGGUAAUAGGAAUUUUGAGAUAUUAUGACUGCUAAUUUUCACUGGCCCUUUGCCAAACAUUCCAUGAUAAAGCAGUGAUUUUUAUAUGGAUCUCAUUAAUGAUAUGUUAUCUUGUAAUCUGUUUUGAUAGGAUGAUUUCAUACUAUUUAAAAUAUGGUGAGCAUUUUUAUGACCGCACAUCUAAAUCUUUGAUAUAAGGAGAAUCUUUGAAGGACGUGACACUUUCUGUGAUAAUCUGUAGGACUGUAUGUUUCAUAAGUGGAGCAAUAUAAGUUGAUAUCAAAGAAAAAGGGGAGUUUGCCUGAUAGGAAAUAAGUACCUCCCUACAGCUUUUUGUUUGUUUUUAGUCACAGUUAAAAGAAAUCUUGUUAUUUAAUCAUCCAUUCAUUCUUUAAAAAAUAAAAUAAAAAGAUAUAUUGAGCCCGUGUACGACACUAAGCGUGUUUUAGUCUUGGUGGAUAGACUUUUGAACAAGAGAAAAAGUCCCUGUCUUAAAGGGACUUACACUCUGGCGGGGGAGAUAGAUGAUAUAUACAGGCUUAAAAAUAUCUUUGUAAUAUAAUUUCAGGUAGGAAAAAGUGCUAUGAAAAAAAAGCAGACUAAGGGAGAGGCUCGUGAGGGGCUGCUGUUUUAUAUCUGAGGACCACAGGAGUUAUUUUUGAGGAGGUGACGUGUGCUGGGGACAGAAGGAAGUGACGGAGCUAGCUGUGUGUGAGGAGCUGGCAGCAGAGUGUCCUGUGGAGAAGGGGGAGUAAGUGAGAAACAGAGGUCCUAAGGCAGGAACAGUCUUGGCAUUUUUGAAUAGCAGCAAGAAGUACAGAUGUCUGGAGCGGAAUGAUCAAGGUGGUGAGAAGCCAAAUGACGUAGGCUGGAGAGGCAGUAGUUUGGAGUUCAUUCUAAGUGUGAUGGCAGCUAUUGGAAGCUGUUGAGCAGGAUGGGAGAUAUGAUCUGAUUUUUGUUGUUGAUUGGGCCUCUGUGAAGGAAGUAACACGUUUAGGAUCCCGUAUGCAAGGGGGAUUUGGAGAGUAAGAAAGGCAACAGCAUUCGCAUCAAAGUUGGGUGUGUCUGGCAAUAGAAAACUAAAAAUAUCUUGUUCACUGAAUUAUUCAUUAGUAGUUAUGAAACAUUUCCCAGUAGCAAAAGUGUGUUGAACCAAUUUAGUUUUUUGUGUGUGUGUUUUGUUUUUUUUUGUGUGUGUUGUGUGUUUUGGGGGGGCAAGGUGUGGGAGGAAAGACAUCAGGGAGGGAUACUGUUCUUACUAAGUGUUCUGACACAGCAAUUUUCUUUCUAUAGGGCAGGUGGGGCUUGUCCCCAAUCUGGUAGAGAGGUUAGGGCCUCAGAAGGCAAACUCCAUGCAGAAUCUAACUCUUGCUCUGGGAGACCUACAGCAUCCGCGGCCUUCUCAAGCCCUAGCCUUAGAGGUAGCAUUAUGGUAAAGAGAUGGUAGUCUUGAGGGGACCAUCUUUGGCUAAAGGGAUUAUUUUGAAGUCUGUUUUAUUCUGAGAGUGGGUAUAGUUUGGUGAUUACUUGUAGGGUGUGUCAGGAUUUUUAAUACAAGUAACAGAAGACCUCAACAAUAAAAGACAUCAUUUGGAGUUAUAAAGUCCUAAGCUAGUAUGUACUUUGGGGCAGGUUGAUUCAGCAGCACAGUGGUCUUAUCACGGUCCCAUUUCUUUCCAUCUCUGUGUUCUUCCAUAUAGAGUGUUGGCCACAUUCCAUGGCAAGCUCCCCAGUGGUUAUGGGACAGCUGCUAGCAGCAGUCAGGGCUACACACUUUCUUGUUGACAUGCUCUGGAAUGAGUGUCUCUGUCCUAGCAUUCCAAAAAAGAGUCUUGAAAUUCAUACUCGUUGUCUAUGCUUACAUUACAUGCUCAUACCUGAACUGGGGGCGCUAUGACGAGAGAGAGCAAUGGAAUGUCUAGCGUGAGCCAAUCAGGGCUUCCCUCUGAAAUUCAGGUUGAGCUCAUUUUCCUCUGAAGCCCAUGGGCAGCAUGGGGAGGGGUAGCUACCAGAAUGAAAGUCAGGAAACUGUUAGGGAGGGGACCAGAGUGAUGGCUGAUGGGAGAUGCCAGCAAAUGCCCACAAGAGAGAGAGAGAGAUGAUUUCCUGAGGUUAUUUCAUGAAGUUGAAUUCUUUACACAAUGGAUGUGUCAUACCUGUCUACUCUUGACAUGUGGGAGAAAUAAUCCAAAGUGGAUUGAAAGAUAAAAAUGUGGUUAGCAUUCUUCAUAGGGUCCUUAGAUGAACCACCUCUUCUACCCAGCACCAGCUGUUUUGAGAAACCUGAUUAUUAGAACACUGGCUCUAGUAUCAGGACUGAUGUGAUCACUGUUUCCACUCUUUUUGGACUUUAGAACAUGAGAUUGCACAGAACUAAAACAAAGGGAUUGUGGCUAGCUGUUAUCCCCAUUUAUGAAGAGGAACAGUGGUGCCAUUACAGCAGCAGAUAGCCCAGAAUAUAGUUUCCUCAGUGUAAGUGGCCUAGGAGAGGCUGGCCAAGGGCUGUAUUGGAUGUGGGGAGCUAGAUGCUUUGAAGUAGAAGUCUGAUGGGAUGAGGCUGCUGUUACCCAUCAAGAGUUAGCUGGUCCAGCUCAGAGUCGCUGCCACCAUGGCUAGUCAGUCGCAGGGGAUUCAGUAGCUGCUGCUGGCCGAGAAGCGGGCAGCCGAGAAGGUGUCCGAGGCCCGCAAAAGAAAGAACCGGAGGCUGAAGCAGGCCAAAGAAGCAGCUCAGGCUGAAAUUGAACAGUACCGCCUGCAGAGGGAGAAAGAAUUCAAGGCCAAGGAAGCUGCGGCACUGGGAUUCCAUGGCAGUUGCUGCACUGAAGUGGAGAAGGAGACCCAGGAGAAGAUGACCAUCCUCCAGACCUACUUCCAGCAGAACAGGGAUGAAGUCUUGGAUAACCUCUUGGCUUUUGUCUGUGACAUUCGGCCAGAAAGCCAUGAAAACUACCGCAUAAAUGGAUAGAAGAAGAGAGAACACCUGUUCUGUGGAGUGGCAUUUUAGAUGCCCUCAUGAAUAUGAAACUUUAGCACAGCUCUAGUUAUAUUCUUAUGAAAUGGCAUUAAAUUAUUUCCAUAUAUUAUAUAGUAGGUCCUUCCACUUUUUGGACAGUAGCAAAUCUAACUUUUUUGUACAGACUUAGAAAUUAUCCAAAGAUUUCAUCUUUUUACCUCAUAUUUCUUAGGAAUUUAAUGGGUAUAUGUUAUCUUUUUUUCCUAUGCCUUUUGGCUCAAGCAACAUGCAUAUUACUGUUGACUUUUUCUUUCUUAGAUAUAGUUUAAAAAAAAAAACCACCACAUAACCAUUCUUUUAAGAAAGGAAGGGAUUAAAUAUUUUUUUUUUUCCCCUAACACUUUCUUGAAGGUCAGGGGCUUUAUCUAUGAAAAAGUAGUAACUAGUUCUUUGUAACCUGUGUGAAGCAGCAGCCAGCCUUAACGUAGUCCAUUCUUGCUAAUGGUUAGAACAGUGAAUACUAGUGGAAUUAUUUGAGCUACAUUUAGUUUCUCUUAAUCAAAAUUACUAGAUGAUAGAAUUCAAGAACUUGUUACAUGUUAUUACUUGGUGUAUCAGUAAUCAUUUAAAAGUAAAGACUCUGUCAUGCCAAAAAAAAAAAAAAAAAAA